rnacentral:rRNA from 1 species
UCGAGCGAAGCACUUUGCUUAGAUUCUUCGGAUGAAGAGGAUUGUGACUGAGCGGCGGACGGGUGAGUAACGCGUGGGUAACCUGCCUCAUACAGGGGGAUAACAGUUAGAAAUGACUGCUAAUACCGCAUAAGACCACAGCACCGCAUGGUGCGGGGGUAAAAACUCCGGUGGUAUGAGAUGGACCCGCGUCUGAUUAGCUAGUUGGUAAGGUAACGGCUUACCAAGGCGACGAUCAGUAGCCGACCUGAGAGGGUGACCGGCCACAUUGGGACUGAGACACGGCCCAAACUCCUACGGGAGGCAGCAGUGGGGAAUAUUGCACAAUGGGGGAAACCCUGAUGCAGCGACGCCGCGUGAGCGAAGAAGUAUUUCGGUAUGUAAAGCUCUAUCAGCAGGGAAGAAAAUGACGGUACCUGACUAAGAAGCCCCGGCUAACUACGUGCCAGCAGCCGCGGUAAUACGUAGGGGGCAAGCGUUAUCCGGAUUUACUGGGUGUAAAGGGAGCGUAGACGGAUGGACAAGUCUGAUGUGAAAGGCUGGGGCUCAACCCCGGGACUGCAUUGGAAACUGCCCGUCUUGAGUGCCGGAGAGGUAAGCGGAAUUCCUAGUGUAGCGGUGAAAUGCGUAGAUAUUAGGAGGAACACCAGUGGCGAAGGCGGCU